UUGCUUUUGGUUCAGUGGUAGAAUGCUCGCCUGCCACGCGGCGUACCGGGUUCGAUUCCCGGCAAGCAUUUAA